GGACCCGGACGCCUGGGUGCUGACCUUGCCGUUGAGGGUGCCGAGCAUGGAGAGGCUGUAGAACCGGGGCAGCACGCAGUAGAGCAUCAUCUGGAUCUGGUCCUGGGAGGAGAGCCCGUUCAUGGUGCCCGAGGGGAGGUCCUCGAAGGCGGCGUCGGUGGGGGCGAGGAUGGUGAGCCCGUUGUAGCUGUCGUAGAGCUGGCUGUUGAGCUGCGUGUCGACGCGCGUCUCGUGGAGGAGGCGGAGGAAGGUGCCGUACUUGCCGGACUUCUCGAGGACCGACGUCACGUUCGUCGGCGGGCCCGCGUCGGCGGCGGCGGCUCCGGGACCGUCCGCGGCUGCGGGGGCGGGCUUGGCUUUGGCCUUUUGGGCUGUGGCCAUGGUGGAG
rnacentral:lncRNA from 1 species